UGUAUCAGGUUUGCUAGGCUGGUUGGACUUUGACCCAUAUCUUCCUUUUUUAGGGGAUAUUCUGGCCCAUACCAGCGCGUACCCCUGGGUAGGAAGAAGGCACGGCAGAGUACCGUGCUGCUGGGCACGGUAGAGGAGCCGGGUCCAGUGAUGGCACAUCUUUGAGACCUGAGUUUUCUCCGUUGAUGAAAAACAUAAGCAUAAUACCUGAGGGCUACUGAUUUGAUCUUCUAUUAUUCCUUUAUCCUCUUUCUUCACUUCUGCUUGACUAUUCUUUUGCUUGAUUGAGAUGCAUUUGCCUAGAAAGCAUUGUCUGACAGCUCAACCAUCAAUCACAAUGGUAUUAAAAGUUGGCGACCUGAAAUGGGGAUUCUGUGGUUUGAUUCUUCUUUCCUGUUUCUGGACCGCAGAUUGUUGUUCUUGGAUCCUGGUGAGUGGUGAUCACUUGGUAAAAUAUUGUUGUCUGAUUCAUGUGUUGAUGAGAUAUAUAUUAUCACCUAAGAGUGAUCAGAAGCAAUGACAUACCUCAUAUUGUUAUUUAUUUGUUUUCUAGUUGCCAUUCUGUUCCUGUUUGUGCAUCCUGAUGUCUGCACAAAUAUUCUAAGAAAAAUACUGUGAUACAAUUAUGCAAAUGUUCUGAGGGUGCCCUCAGAAAUAUUCUAAGAGAAAAACCGUGAUAAUUUUUUUAUCCUGGCACAGUGUGGAAGCAAUUUGGAGAUGUGAACUGAGGAAACACUUCAUUCUAUCUUCUUCCCGCCCCAAAACAAUGGUUUUUGUUGUUUAUCUGAUGUUUUCUGAUGUUGAAAACUGUCUGAUGAUGAUCAAACUAAUUACUUUCAUUCUUCUGAUGUGCUAUCUCAUGAUGUGGUGCGGAAGCAAUUUGGAGACCUGAACUGAGGAAAUACUUAAAUUUAAAUUCCACCUGCCCCAAAUCAAUGGUUUUUUGUUGUUUAUCUUGUGUUUUUUGAUGUUGAAAACUGUCCGAUGAUGAUGAAACCAAAUACUUUCGUUCUUCUGAUGAGAUGGCACGGUGCGGAAGCAGUUUUCAGACCUGAACUGAGGAAAUACUUCAUUUUAUCGUCUUCCUGCCCCAAACAAUGGUUUUUGUUGUUUAUCUCAUGUUUUCUGAUGUUGAAAACUGUCCAAUGAUGAUCAAACUACUUUUGUUCUUCUGAUGCGUUGUGUGGAAGCAAUUUGGAGACCUGAACUGAGGAAAUACUUAGUUAUAUCUAAUUCCUGCCCAAAAACAAUGCUUAAAUGGAAAAUGUUAUGUGUUUGUUGCUUCACAACUGGAAGUAUGGCCUGUUGUUAAUAGUUUGGUCAUGCUGUAGAGGGAAGCAUAGAUUAAUCGGAAACACUGGCCAGCAUUAAACAGCACGACGCAUUACCAAACUGCGUCAUGUUACCUGUCUUCUGGCACAUUUAAUAAUGUAAGAAAAUGUGCAUAUCUUCCCCUAGGCUAUGUUUUUCUUUCAAGAGGUUUUGGUUUUGCUUCUGAUUUUGUUGCUUACUCCUACAUUCAUUUGGUGGAUGAAAGCAAGCAUUAAACAGAACUUCCAGAUUCAGAGCAUUGGCACUGGUGUAGAUGUUGCAGCAGAAAUUCUGCUAAUCAUUGCAUAGCUUUUAACAGAACUCCUUAAUCUUUUUGGGUCUCAGGGAAGGCAUAUUCAGCAUGAUACGCUCAUAAUACCUGUAAACAUUCUUGAUGUUCAAUAAGGCCUAGCUUCCUUUGCUAAAAAAAAUCUCACUAUAAGUGAGAUAUAGCUCCUGCGUCUAUUUGCUGCCUGCGAGCGUCAUAUAGGAUCCACCCUAUGGAUGCGCCGCUAGAGGUGUCAAAUAGGAAGUUGCGUGCGUCUACUUGUCCGCCUGCCCCAUCUGCACCCGCAAAGAAGAGGAAAACCCUAGACAAAUCCCCAUCUCCUAUUUUUUUAAUAUAAAUCUCCACCAAUGCCGCCUACAAAUUCCAAACAGCAACUUGAUGUCAUUUUUUUCCAAACAGCAAUAGCUCAUCCGGCCACCCUCGCCUACACAUCGCUCUUUUGAUUCUUGAUGAAUCUCGAUUUGGUUUGUUUCUUAUUUUUAUUUUUGAUGGUCCAUGAUGUUGUGGUGGUGAUGAUGAAUUUGUGGACUAGUUUCUGAUGCGGCCUCCCAGUUCUCAUCCCAUCAAUUGAUAUGUUCUUCGGUUCCAUCUUGUUUUUUUAAUGUUUGCUGGUUAGGGAGUUUGAGCGGUGAUGACAUCUAUGUGGACUAGAGUUUCUGACGCUACCUCUUCAGUAGUAUUUUUGAAGACAAACCCUUGGCUAUCUGAGCUCCCCCAAAUUGAUGAUUUAUCUGUGGAGUAGUCUGUAUGUUUCUUACUGUUUGUUUCUUGGUUGAUGUGCAAUUCAAGGUCUCGUCCAUUGUCUAGCUGCGAGCGAGUGAAACUUCAAGUUCUAGACAUUAGUUCAACCUGAAAAGGGACUAUCGUCGAAAAGUUAAUAUAUAAACAACACUGUGCUAUGAUCUCUAUCUCUUCUAGCUCUGGCACCUGACAUUGGAAUUGGUGGGGACUGUUGGAAAUAAUGCACCGGUUCAGAGAAUUCCAAGUCUGAUGCUUUGGGCAUAUCCUGUCUAGUAACAAACUGAAACUUUAUGCACGCACGUUGCUGGCCGUUCGGCAAGCUGCAACUCCUUCCCGAGUCCUCUGUUAGGACGUGAGCAUUAUCCUGCUGUUCCUCCCGAUUCUCCUGGUUCCAACGAGUGCACCGCGCUUCGCUCGGCAAGACGUUUCAUUGAAACGUUGCUCGUUGGACUUCUUCCUUCACAAUCUGUAUAAAGGGCGGAGAGCAUCGGGAGAAAAAUACAACACAUCUCCAUCUUCUUCCUCACAUACCACAAGUGCUGAGGCGCCGUCCGUCGUGCAACGGCAGCCCGAUGAGCGGUGUCUCCGUGACUCCGGCCACAUCCUUUGACCCUGUACGGGGGCGGUCUCGAGUUUUCUGGGCAGCGUCCGCGCGACCGCUCCUUCGCCGUCCCCGACGACAUCAUCUCCGACGACGGCUGCUUUGUCGACGUCCUCGACAACAUCGUCUUCGGUGACCGCUGCUUCCUCAACGUCCUCGUCGACAUCGUAUCUGCGACCGAUGCUUCCUCUACGAGAUCGUCUCCGACAAACUCCAUCCACGAACACCAGUGCACCGACUUCUAGACUUGUAUAGAAGAUCUUGGCCGGUGAUGCAAUGUAUUGGUUUAUAAACAAACACAUUGAUUGCUUGGACCUGGACUCUGAUGAUAUGUCACAUUGAAUGGUCAUGAACAGUUUUGUGAGAAGAGACUAAUGAGCAGCUUCAAACUAGUCUUUCAGAUCAAACUAGGUGCCCUCCGUUCUCUAAUGCCCCUUUGGUACUCCUAGCCCAGGUGAGGAUUUCAUCGUUCAGUGAAGAAAAGCUCAACUGGGUUCACAGGCACUCUGUUUUAGAGCAGAUUAAAUUCUCUAAAAAGGAUGCCUUUUAAAACCGUUAGUGCAGUGGCUGUGGAAAUACUCCCUCCGGUCAUUUUUACUCUGCAUAUGAGGAUUGUUGAAGUCAAACUUUAUAAAGUUUGAUCAUAUUUAUAUGAAAAAAUAUUAACAUCUACAAUGCUAAAUUUAUACAAUAUGAAAGCUAAAGUCAUGACACAUCUAAUGUUAUUGAUUUCACAUUUUAAAUGUUGGUAUUUUUUUCUAUAAAUUUGGUCAAAAUUGUGAUGUUUGACUUCAGAUAAAUCUUAUAUGCGAAGGAAUAAUAACCCUUAUGGUUAUUAGGGAUAAUCCCUGCUCGCAUCUCUCCGUGCUGGCGGUUCCAAAGGGCCAACAACUGUCCAUGACGGUUCCUGUGGAGACGCCUCUAGCGAACCAUCGCGUCCAUUGUGAUUGUAUAUAUAUCAUGGCAAUUAUCAAUAAAGACCACUGAUUUGACCAUUUGUUCGAUACUCUUGUUCCUUUACAAUUGAUACUUCAUAUAGAGCAUUUUUAGGAGAAGCUGUAUAAAGCAUUAUUAAGUGUCA